GGAGAGAUGGCCGAGCGGUUUAAGGUGAUGGUCUUGAAAACUAUUAUAGAAGAAGUUCUAUCGAGGGUUCGAAUCCCUCUCUCUCCG
rnacentral:tRNA from 1 species